rnacentral:rRNA from 1 species
GCUUAAUUGGAGUCAACGCCGGGAACUUUACCGGGGGGCGACAGCAGGAUAACGGCCAGGCUAAUGACCUUGCCUGACGCGCUGAGAGGAGGUGCACGGCCGUCGCCAGCUCGUGCCGUGAGGUGUCUGGUUAAGUCCAGCAACGAGCGAGACCCUGCCCCUAAUUGCUACCUGCUCCUUCGGGAGUAGGGCACAUUAGAGGGACUGCCGGCGUCUAAGCCGGAGGAAGGUGGGGGCCACGGCAGGUCAGCAUGCCCCGAAACCCCCGGGCUGCACGCGGGCUACAAUGGCUGGGACAGCGGGAACCGACCUCGAAAGAGGAAGGUAAUCCCUCAAACCCAGCCGCAGUUGGGAUCGAGGACUGAAACCCGUCCUCGUGAACGAGGAAUCCCUAGUAACCGCGCGUCAUCAUCGCGCGGUGAAUACGUCCCUGCUCCU